AAGUUGUAUACUACGUAGAAACUCCAAAUACGAUGAUAAAGCAGCUUAUCAUAUCUGUUACCCAGAGAUAAUAAUGUGCGAUAUCUAUAACAGGUGAGCCUCCAUAACUGAAUCAGUCGAAUUGUCGUUCAGUGUGAAACUUAUACGUAAGGAUCAUGAAAUGGUGAAGUAUACGCUCCUGCAUAAACCUACACUUUCGGCUUGGCCGUCGAUUCCACGGCAGGUCAAGAUCAUUAUUAUUGGGAUUAUUCUAAUUACUCUAAUAUUUCUGAUAUUCGUUCAACGUGUGAAAUAUGACAACAUCAGGCAAUUGUACGAAAUGGACGAAACGAUUUUUGAAAUUCUCGAUCUCGAAGUAAAAUAUAUGCCGUCCCCUGAAUCGGAAAUGGAAGAUCGAUGGGAAUCCACCUCUGUGGAAGAUGGCAUGAUUUAUUCGGCUUAUUUGGAUUAUAGACCGGAAAUUAUCCUCGACGAUCGCCAUGAUGACAAAUCAGGUGAAAAGACUUGGGCUGUAAUUAGAGUGAUCGCGAUAUUGCCAUUAGAAUGGGACGGCAAGUCAUUGACUUGCUACUAUAAAUACAGACCAGAUGAAGCCGGAAAGAUUGUUAUAAAAAAAAAAACUUCAUCCAGAGUAAGGGCCAUAAAUGAAAACUGGGGUUUGAAGUAUUCGGCGUUCUUCGUCCUCUGUGAUUUGACGCUACCUCUUGAAAUGAACUACGAACAAUUAUUUCACUAUCAUCAUCUUCCCGUUGAAAUAUCUGUUGGUUCUACGAGUCGGGAUGAUCUGAACGGUAUCAAGUUUAUCAAAAUCCGGUAUCCUCAAGACGGUUUUGGAAAAUUUGAAUAUUCGGUUAAUUCUUCGUUGUCUUUGUGUGGACCCGUAUUUCAUCACGAAUACGACAGAGCAUUACACCUUGUGGAGUUUAUCGAAUAUUACAUAAUGCAAGGAGUCAAUCAUUUCACGUUUUACAACAAAAGUGUUUCGACGGAUGUUUCGAAAGUAUUUCAGUACUACGCCAACAAGGGAAUAGCGACAAUUCUUCAGUGGAAAUUACCGUCGAUUUACCAAUUCGAGUUAACACUCAGGAUGGACGGAUCGUUCGCAGCUUGGAACGACUGUCUCUACAGAAGUUCAUUCCACAAAAAUUAUAAAUACGUCCUAAUAGCUGACGUAGACGAAUUCAUCGUGCCUAGAAAACAUGAAAACCUCACGGAGCUCAUGAGAUUCUUGGACCCUCCAAAUAAUUUGAAUACUAAAAACGAACACGCGUCGUUUGAAUUUAGAAAUGUUUUUUUUUAUCUGAUGCAUCCGGACGACAAGACUGACUACGAUCCUACGGUGCCUUAUCUCUACCUUCAAGCAAAAACGGAAAGAGUUAAAGAUCCUGAAAACGCGGGGUACCUGACGAAAUACAUCGCGCGUUCUCAGGAUGUUGUAGAGCUCGGAUACCACAAGGUCUGGUUUCAUCACCCGGGUACAUCGAUCUUUAUGAACAGCUUCGAUCGGUUGGUCGUUGAUGCAGACGUAGCACUUUCUCAUCAUUACAGCGAUUGCGAGGCAGAAACUGCAGCUUGUCAUUUUAGACCGACGAUAAUCGACAGAACGACGCAUAAGUAUAUCAAGGAAAUUGGAACGCGACUGAAACGAGUUUGUAAAGAUAUAUUUAAGGAUGCUGGAUGUCCUGCACCGAAGAACUGAUGCAUUUCUACUGGAAGUAUAUUAUUUUGACACUCGAGCGUAGUUCUUUCCGCAGCUGACGGAAAAAUUCUACAGCAUCCGUUUUACAAAGCGACAAAAAAAUUCACCAUAGCUGCCUUAUUAAAUUUCCGGCAAAGACUAUUUCUCCAGUUGCAGUUAAGUGCCAACGAUUUCCAACAUUUUUUAAUGAACUUUAGCCAUCAUUUCAAAAGGAUAAUGAGAAAUAAAUCAAUCAGGGAUUAGUAGGGUCCUGUACAGGAACAGCAUCCCUUUACAUUGGGAAUUCUAGUCAUGGUAUUUUGAUAUUGGAAAUCGGAUUCGAGAAUCUGAAUCAGUGUCUUGAAAAUAAUAAAUUGAUACCACAUUGAAAUCGAUUGUGUGAUGAUCUUUCAAUGUAUUCCGAUCUUAUAAAUACGAAUUCAUCGAGUGAAUUGAGCUUAGAAUAAAUGCUAUCGAGAUAUCUUGAUUUUUUCACUCACUUCAACGAUAAACCGAAGAUAACUUGAUUAAUCUUAUGGAUAGACCAACUUAGCUAGUAGAUUUGAAUUCUUUGGCUCAAUAUUUGAUUUAAGAAACAUGAAUCCAUCAAGUGAAUCAAGCUAGAAGUGAAUCCUUUCGUUGUAUCUCAAUUUUUUCGUACUCAAGGCGCGAUGUUAGCGAUAACUCGAUCAUUCAAUUACUUCGCGAUUCAAUGAAUCUUCCUUAUCUUCUGUUACAGAAGCAAAAUUGACAGCCUAUGAAGCGACUCCACAUUGCAUCUAGAACAUUAGACUACAUUAUUUAUCGUGUAGUCAUAGAUCCGAUACUCCAAUACUGAAAUGAUGAGAAUAAAUAAAUUGCAGAGACUAAAGUCUUUGGUGUUUUUCGCCCCGGAAUCCUAAAGAAUCGGCCCAAAAAUUAGCAAAGACUUUGAAGAAUGAAGCUCUUGACACCGCCGUUCAGUUCUUCAUGAAAUAAGUCC
rnacentral:misc_RNA from 1 species